rnacentral:rRNA from 1 species
GACGAACCGUGCGAACGUUGUUCGGAUUCACUGGGCUUAAAGGGCUCGUAGGCGGCGUGUCGCGUCGGGGAGUGAAAAGCCCGCUGCUUAACGGCGGGUUGGCUUCCGGUACGGGCAUCGCUGGAGUGCGGCAGGGGAGACUGGAAUUCCUGGUGUAGCGGUGGAAUGCGCAGAUAUCAGGAGGAACACCGGUGGCGAAGGCGGGGUCUC